rnacentral:rRNA from 1 species
CCUACGGGUGGCAGCAGUGGGGAAUAUUGCACAAUGGGGGAAACCCUGAUGCAGCGACGCCGCGUGAGUGAAGAAGGAUUUCGGUAUGUAAAGCUCUAUCAGCAGGGAAGAAGAAAGACGGUACCUGACUAAGAAGCCCCGGCUAACUACGUGCCAGCAGGCGCGGUAAAACGUCGGGGGCAAGGGUUAUCCGGAUUUACUGGGGGGAAAGGGAGCGUAGACGGCUGUGCAAGUCUGAAGUGAAAGCCCAGGGCUCAACCCAGGGUCUGUGUUGGAAACUGUGGAGCUAGAGUGCUGGAGAGGUGAGUGGAAUUCCUGGUGUAGCGGUGAAAUGCGUAGAUAUUAGGAGGAACACCAGUGGCGAAGGCGGCUUACUGGACAGUAACUGACGUUGAGGCUCGAAAGCGUGGGGAGCAAACAGGAUUAGAUACCCGGGUAGUC